rnacentral:rRNA from 1 species
AUUCCAGCUCCAAUAGCGUAUAUUAAUGUUGUUGCAGUUAAAAAGCUCGUAGUUGAAUUUCUGGUUAAAAUCUUAGCUGGCUUUGGUCGUUAAUGUUUUAAUCAUCCGUUAGAGAACUAUAACCGUCCUUAACUGGUCAUUAUAGAGAUCUAACAUUUUACUUUGAAAAAAUUAGAGUGUUCAAGGCAGGCAAUCGUCAUGAAUACUAUAGCAUGGAAUAAUGGAAUAGGACUUUGGUUCAUUUUAUUGGUUAUUGAACCUUAGUAAUGAUUAACAGGGACAGUUGGGGGCAUUAGUAUUUAAUUGUCAGAGGUGAAAUUCUUGGAUUUUGGAAAGAUGAACUACUGCGAAGGCAUUUACCAAGGACGUUUUCAUUA